rnacentral:tRNA from 1 species
AGUACCGGGGCGCGGGCAAGCGCGCCGCACCGCUGGCGUUGGUGGGCAAGGGCAUCACGUUCGACACGGGCGGCAUUUC